CAGGUUUACCUGUGUGACUGCGUACCUUUUGUAUAAUGGGUCAGCGACUUAUAUUCUGUAGCAAGGUUAACCGAAUAGGGGAGCCGGAGGGAAACCGAGUCUUAAUUGGGCGUUAAGUUGCAGGGUAUAGACCCGAAACCCGGUGAUCUAGCCAUGGGCAGGUUGAAGGUUGGGUAACACUAACUGGAGGACCGAACCGACUAAUGUUGAAAAAUUAGCGGAUGACCUGUGGCUGGGGGUGAAAGGCCAAUCAAACCGGGAGAUAGCUGGUUCUCCCCGAAAGCUAUUUAGGUAGCGCCUCGUGAAUUCAUCUCCGGGGGUAGAGCACUGUUUCGGCUAGGGGGCCAUCCCGGCUUACCAACCCGAUGCAAACUGCGAAUACCGGAGAAUGUUAUCACGGGAGACACACGGCGGGUGCUAACGUCCGUCGUGAAGAGGGAAACAACCCAGACCGCCAGCUAAGGUCCCAAAGUCAUGGUUAAGUGGGAAACGAUGUGGGAAGGCCCAGACAGCCAGGAUGUUGGCUUAGAAGCAGCCAUCAUUUAAAGAAAGCGUAAUAGCUCACUGGUCGAGUCGGCCUGCGCGGAAGAUGUAACGGGGCUAAACCAUGCACCGAAGCUGCGGCAGCGACACUGUGUGUUGUUGGGUAGGGGAGCGUUCU
rnacentral:rRNA from 1 species